AGCCGUGUGUUGAGCACAGAGCGAACUAUUCUUUCGCCUUUUACUAAAGAAUACCGUGUGUUCUUCACAUUUAGCGGCAUACGCUAAUUUUUGAUAGAGUCUUUCCUUUGGAAGACU